UACGUAGGGUCCGAGCGUUGUCCGGAAUUAUUGGGCGUAAAGGGCUCGUAGGCGGUUUGUCGCGUCGGGAGUGAAAACCAGGUGCUUAACACCUGGCUUGCUUUCGAUACGGGCAGACUAGAGGUAUUCAGGGGAGAACGGAAUUCCUGGUGUAGCGGUGAAAUGCGCAGAUAUCAGGAGGAACACCGGUGGCGAAGGCGGUUCUCUGGGAAUAUUCUGACGCUGAGGAGCGAAAGUGUGGGGAGCGAACAGG
rnacentral:rRNA from 1 species